rnacentral:rRNA from 1 species
GAGGUUAAGCGACUAAGCGUACACGGUGGAUGCCCUGGCAGUCAGAGGCGAUGAAGGACGUGCUAAUCUGCGAUAAGCGCCGGUAAGGUGAUAUGAACCGUUAUAACCGGCGAUUUCCGAAUGGGGAAACCCAGUGUGACUCGUCACACUAUCAUUAACUGAAUCCAUAGGUUAAUGAGGCGAACCGGGGGAACUGAAACAUCUAAGUACCCCGAGGAAAAGAAAUCAACCGAGAUUCCCCCAGUAGCGGCGAGCGAACGGGGAGGAGCCCAGAGCCUGAAUCAGCAUGUGUGUUAGUGGAAGCGUCUGGAAAGGCGCGCGAUACAGGGUGACAGCCCCGUACACAAAAGCGCAUGUGCUGUGAGCUCGAUGAGUAGGGCGGGACACGUGGUAUCCUGUCUGAAUAUGGGGGGACCAUCCUCCAAGGCUAAAUACUCCUGACUGACCGAUAGUGAACCAGUACCGUGAGGGAAAGGCGAAAAGAACCCCGGCGAGGGGAGUGAAAAAGAACCUGAAACCGUGUACGUACAAGCAGUGGGAGCACCCUUUGGGGUGUGACUGCGUACCUUUUGUAUAAUGGGUCAGCGACUUAUAUUCUGUAGCAAGGUUAACCGAAUAGGGGAGCCGGAGGGAAACCG